UACGUAGGGUGCGAGCGUUAAUCGGAAUUACUGGGCGUAAAGCGUGCGCAGGCGGUUUUGUAAGCCAGACGUGAAAGCCCCGGGCUCAACCUGGGAAUGGCAUUUGGGACUGCAAGGCUGGAGUGUGGCAGAGGAGACUGGAAUUCCUGGUGUAGCAGUGAAAUGCGUAGAGAUCCGGAAGAACACCGGUGGCGAAGGCGGUUAGCUGGGCAGUUGCUGACACUGAGGCGCGACAGCGUGGGGAGCAAACAGG
rnacentral:rRNA from 1 species